rnacentral:lncRNA from 1 species
AGCGAGGACAACGCACAGAUGAAAGCUGCUCUGCCGCUACCGUAUGUCUCAUCUUUUUCUGGUGUCAAAUAUUUUCCUAGAUUUUCUGACGCCUGUCUCUUUUUUUAAGGAGGAAACCCGCUGAUUCUGUUGUGAUUUAUGAACGCGGCGGGAUAUCCUUGAAGUGGCGCAAAGUGUCUGAAGAAGAGUGUUCCUGGUACAUAUCCGGAAAGAAAGGGAUCUCAAUGAUCGACACAAGUCAACACAUAAAAGUAUGCUAUGGGUUGGAUACUCCUAUCGGAGACUAUUCACGAUUUCUGAGAAAAUUCUACAUUCAUACGUACAAACCCAAACUAUUCAAAUUUGUUUCCC